UACGUAGGGAGCAAGCGUUGUCCGGAAUCAUUGGGCGUAAAGCGCGCGUAGGCGGCCCUGUAAGUCCGUUGUGAAAGUCAAAGGCUCAACCUUUGAAAGCCGAUGGAUACUGCAGGGCUAGAGUCCGGAAGAGGCGAGUGGAAUUCCUGGUGUAGCGGUGGAAUGCGCAGAUAUCAGGAGGAACACCGGUGGCGAAGGCGGUUCUCUGGGCAUGUCCUGACGCUGAGGAGCGAAAGUGUGGGGAGCGAACAGG
rnacentral:rRNA from 1 species